rnacentral:ribozyme from 1 species
AGAAACUGGUCUGUUCCUACUCGAAGC